GACGAACGCUGGCGGCGUGCCUAAUACAUGCAAGUCGAGCGGACUUAAAAAGCUUGCUUUUUAAGUUAGCGGCGGACGGGUGAGUAACACGUGGGCAACCUGCCUGUAAGACUGGGAUAACUUCGGGAAACCGGAGCUAAUACCGGAUAAUCCUUUUCUACUCAUGUAGAAAAGCUGAAAGACGGUUUACGCUGUCACUUACAGAUGGGCCCGCGGCGCAUUAGCUAGUUGGUGAGGUAACGGCUCACCAAGGCGACGAUGCGUAGCCGACCUGAGAGGGUGAUCGGCCACACUGGGACUGAGACACGGCCCAGACUCCUACGGGAGGCAGCAGUAGGGAAUCUUCCGCAAUGGACGCAAGUCUGACGGAGCAACGCCGCGUGAGUGAUGAAGGUUUUCGGAUCGUAAAACUCUGUUGUUAGGGAAGAACAAGUACGAGAGUAACUGCUCGUACCUUGACGGUACCUAACCAGAAAGCCACGGCUAACUACGUG
rnacentral:rRNA from 1 species